rnacentral:pre_miRNA from 1 species
AAUAAGUUCAUUUUCCAGUUUUUGGAUACAAUCUUUGACUAUUCGUUUUAUUUAAAAAAAUUAUGAUUAAUAUUUUUAUUGUUAUUAGAUGAUAAAACAUGAAUAAUACUUUACGUGUGAUUAUUUUUUUAUUUUUUUAUAAUUUUUUAAAUAAAACGGAUGGUCAAAUGUUGGAUACAGAAACU